CACAAGGAGAGGAUAGAGUGAAGAGAAGGAAGGAAAAACUGGUCUAUAGAGAGUAAAGUUUGGGCAAGAAUUAUUGACCCACUUCAUCUCUGUUAUAAGUACCACUUCUUAGACUGAUAUACACACACUUUCUUACAUCCUUAAACUUAACAAAGUAUAGAGGUUUUUGGUUCUUAAAAAUGGCGAUCCUGGGUGCCUCCAAAUUAUUGUCAUUUGCUACUCUUUUAGGAAUACUUUUGCUACUCAUCAACUCUGCUCUGGGAGCUGCUACCCAACCUUCCCUUGAACACGGACGUAAACUUCUCAAAACUUAUUAUCCAUACCCGGGCGGUGGAGGAUGGAGGAAAGCAGCAGAUUCUGGUGGUCGAGGAUAUAGGAAACUACCAUAUUAUGGUGGUCGAGGAUAUAGAAAACCAAGAUAUUAUGGUCGUGGAAAAUAUACCCAAAAUCCAUGAAAUCAGUAACCACCACACCGCAGAAAUAACGGAUCAACUAUGUGCUCUUCAAAGUUCUGAUUUAAUAUGAUAAGAGUGAUAAAAAAUACUUAUGGAUGUGUUAGUGCCAGAACAUUAAUAUAAGUCAUGUAGUACUCAAUCUAGAGGAAUCGUGUGUAUUACUGCAAUCAAUCUGGAUCAAAGAAUUAAAUAAUUUAUUUAUGGUGUGAAA